UGAUGUCAACAUUGUUUGCUGAAAUAUAUAAGAGCUGAGUAAAAUCUUUAAUGUGUCUUGCUUUUUUUGAAGCCAUGAGAACACCGUCUGUCCAUUAGAAAACCAAAGUAAUAAGAUUUUAUGGUUUGGCUACUAAGUCAACAUGGUUAGCUAAACUUUGGCUUAUGGAGUUCUGCUAUUUUUAUGGUACAGUUAAAUAUAAGAGACUUAGCCUGAGGAUGGGCUAAUAAACUAGAAAUAUUUUCCCUCCAGUUCACCCCCAUCAGUCUUAAUAGUUUAUUGCUUUUCUCUGCUCAGUUUUGGUCCAUGUGAAAGUAGUGAAAACCUGUUCAGUCCUUGCACUGUUGUAAGACUGAUUCCUGUGAAGAAACAGGCUGCUAAAAAGAGAACUGGUGAGCUCAAAGAAAGAUACCCACUUCUACCAUGUUCUAGGAAGACCUCUAUGUCAACAGUACAAAUAUAAGCAUGAUGCCAGAUGUUCUGAAAAUUUCCUUGGGUCCCUCUUUCUGAGAGUUCGGGAGUGAAAGGAGCUGAUUUGGUUUAAAGGUUCUCUGAAGAUUAAUAUUAUCCCUCAUUUGCAGAACCAUUAAAAACUUGUAAUCAAGCAAAUGAGAACGUAAAUCUGUACAUUUUGGACAGAUUUUCUACAAUCAUUCCCAAACAUAAUUUUUUAAGUGAUAGGAUCACAUUUCAUCUGAAUAUCAAGAAGUUGAAAUCUACAGCUGAAUGCAUCUCUUGUCAGAUAGUCCAUAUCUGAGAAAGGAGAUGAGAAGUAGCUUCUUGUGGAUUGCAGAUUGCAGAGUACUAACCCCAUAAGCAGAUUGCAGAGUACUUACUGAAAGAUUCAAGAGCUCAGCACUGCCCCUCCGCUCCCUUCAUGAGGAGGUAUAGGCUGCCAUGAGGCCUCCCCUGAGCUGGACAAAGAAAGCUUCAACAAUGAAGAAUUCAUUGAUUUCCCAAAGGGCAGGAGGUUGUAUAUUACACCAAACCAAUCCUGCUGUACCCCUCCACUGAAAUACAGAGAUGAAGAGCUAAAAGUGACUAAAAUAAAAAAAGAGGUUAUCAAAUGACAGAGUGAGACCCUAUAAUGAGGGUCAUGGGUUGCCCCAUUUAAAGACAGAAGGAACACUAUUCCAACGGGUGCUAGAAGAAAUCCAUAGCAAUCCAUUUCUUUUGGAAGAUCAGAGCACUCUUGUACGCUGAAGAAACUAGACAUGUCCUUUUUUCCAUAUCACUAGGAAAGCUCUUGUAACUCUAGCAAACCGCUACUGAGCGCAGAAACACAUUCAAAUGGAAUGUUUCCAUUGCUGUUCCAUAUUUACUGGACAUAAUCAUUUGUUUUAUAUAGAGUACUAUAUUUUGAGCAUAUAGGUAGCAAAUAAUACUGCAAGCUUCUAAAAUCUAGAAAAAACAGAAUGAACACUGCUUAAGUAUUCUCAGAGCAAAGCGUACCUUCUUUCAAAAAUUUCUUUAUCUAAAUUCAUUUAUUCUACAUCAUUUCCCUCUCCAAAGAACACUGGACAGAAACUUUCAGAACUUUUUUUCAACACAAUAUAGCACAAAAAUACUAGGCUGCUCUGAAGAAUUAAAAGGAUUAUUACUAAAAAAAAAAGUAUACAAUUGGAUAGCUAACCCAACAUUUAUUCAAAAUGAAAGGUUUUAAUCUGUCAGUGAAGUUGAGUUGAACUCAUCUCGAUAACCAGCCAAAACCUACAGGAUUUCAGCAUAAUGCAAGCAUUGAUGCUACCAGACAGCCACCUUGAAGCCUACAGUAUAAACAGACAUUCACUCUGUAUACUGAAAAUGUGCUGGUUGGUAUUGUAAAAUCAUACAGCUGUUUUGAGCAAGCAUCUUAGAAUUCCUCCUGUGUCAAACCAUCACCAGCUGCAGCCAAUCUGCUCUAUAAUGAGAGCAAAUAUAUGUUUAAUUUGUUGUGUAUAGAAGAAAAUAUGGUGCAGUGGGGGAGGAGGAGCAGAAAUGAUAAAAGCAUGCCAUCCAACUGGAAUUAGUGAUCUAACAGCCUUUGUAUCAUUGUAACACGCUAGCCUAGGUUGUUCAAACUCUAAGACUGCCUCCCUGCUGUUCUAGAUACUUAAGUAGCAGAACACAAUCUUUCUUCCCAUCUUUCGAGGAUAUUUGCUAUAUGAUUUUUCUUCCAAUCCUAAAAGCAAGAUAGAAAGACAUUAUUUAACUGAGUGUAAACAAACAGAAGACCUGUUAUUAUCAAGAUAUUUCUAACUGUACUUCACCGAUUUCAAAGUGUGACAAAGUUAAUUUGUUCUAUUCUUCAAAUGUGGAAAUAUCAAAAGUAACGUUACGAGGAAGUUGAAAAAGUUGCACAUGCACGAGUCCUCACUAGUUAAGUCAGAAUUCUCUCUUUAUCUUCACACAUUUUCUUUGAUUAAAAUAACAACCCUAUGUAACUCCACUGAGGCCUGAGUAGAAAGUGCUCCUCGAUGACUAAUAUUUACAAACAUGUCUUCCCUACAGGCAAACUUAUAGUUAAUUGCUACUAAAUAACUAAGAUACCCCAGUGAUCUGAGUUAGGAAUACUAAACGUAAAACUGCAAGCUCAAAAUUAAGAUAGGUGGUUAUGUGCUACUAAUGUUAAACGUUCCUGAGAAGUGGCAUUCCUUGUCUUUUUCCAUUCCCUUUUAAUUCCUGAUGAACGUACAUCAGUGACUCACAACGUGCCACAAAAGUGUUCUACUGAGAGAGCAUAAUAAAAAGAUUGUACCUAAAAAACUAAAUGUAGUUUUUCAAACUUAUCUUGUCUAGACCUUACAAGCAGAACAAAGAAUAUCGCGACUAAAGCUUCACUCAUUUCCAGCAAGUACAGCUAUGUUUUCCUCAAAGCAGAAAAGUGCAAAAGGCAGAAAAGAAGGCAGUCUAAUUUUUUGUAUGUUGAUGUUAUGUCAAGGCAGAACAAUGAAAAAAUACAGUUUAACACCAUAUCCGUAAUUACAAAAAGCUAUUGGGUUUUGAGAUCUUUUGCAUGAGAACUGGCUUCAGUGUGUCAGAGUGUACAGCUGAACCUCACAAAUCCUUCCCAUCCUUCGACCUGUCAGUUUUCAGAACGUCACAGCUCUAAAAUUCUUUGUAAGGUUUUCGUGCAGGGUUUCAAUAGGGAAUACUAAUCCAGUGGUAACAAGAAUCUGGGUCUCCUGAUCACGUGACCGCUGAAGUACAAGGCAGCUUCAACUAGGGAAACUCCACAGUAGCAGCAAGUCCUGGUGAAGAACACCCCCUCGAACCAACAUUUCAUGAGUAGAUUGACAAUGCUAGUAAAGUACUCUCAGGGUUUAUGCAAUUUUUUUUCUAUAGUGAAAUAAAAAUUCAAAGUUCAAAUUUUUAAAAUAAGAGUAUGAUGAAAAUACAGUAAGACAGUGGCAAAGCAUUGGAAUGAAAAAUUAGAAAGAAUACCUCAGAAUUAUUCCUUUAGAUUUAAGUCACUACUAGGCCCUCACGCUUUCUGAAAUUACUUCACCAAACCUCCUGCCUUGCUCUCUGUGGGAAUACAAGAAAGACUAUUCAGAACAGCACCUGUAGAGCAAGAUAAAUGAAAGCAAUGCUGAGAACCAAGGAAGAAGAGAAAAGCAAGUCAAGUAAGUUGCGCGAUGGCCGUAUGGUAAUUACCCUGACUGAAGGAAGAGUGUGUGGCUAAGAAUGGCUCAUGGCUCUGACUGGAUAAGUGCCUGUGUGCACGGUUAAGGAGUGUUUGCGGAAUGUUUUGUUGACAUGUAAAGGUGGGUGGGAAAGUUAAGAGAAAACUUGUGACUGCAUAAGGGAUGCUAGAACCUGUAAUAAACAUUUUGGAUUGUUCACAUCUGAGUCCAUGCCUCACUGCCACAGCCUACGAUUCUGUUAUUCAUUAAUCUUUCUGAGCUCCUCAGUUCUGAGAAAGAAACUAACUUUGCAAUGGAGUCUUAGUAUACAGCUUUAGUAUAUUAUAGGUAAAUUUCAAGUAAGCAGCCAAGUCCAAUGAAAAGUAUUUAAUUAAUGCUAAGAUGAGAUUUCCACUCCUUCUCAUAUAUUCCCAAAGUAAUUGUAAAGCCAACCUAUGUAAACAUACCAUCAGCUUCCAGGUCAACAAACAAUGUGCAGACACAUAUGUGAGCAUGACACUGAGGUGACAUAGAACAGAAGCAAUUCUCAAAUGAAAGUGGAGACUGGGAAACUCAAGUGCUUACAUUUAUAAGCUUACCUUUUAAGUAUAAUUAUUACUGCGUGUUACAAAUUUAAAAUCGGUACUAAUUGUUGAUGGUAACUUGCCUGCUUUGACUUAAAGCUGUAAAAGAUUAGUUUGGCACUUUCUCAUCCUUUUACAUUUCAUUUCUAUCUCCCAAAGCUAUUUUAAACCUUUCAGUAUCCUACGUAGAUGAGCGCUCAGAGAAAAAUCUCUCUUGCGUAUAGAGGGGAACGCAAUCUGCCUAAUUUCAGUUAGUUACAAACUCCAAAAUACAGCUAUGCAAGCAAAGAAGGGAAAUGAAAACAGUUUUCCUAACUAUUUGUUAUGAGCAGACGGAUCAGCUAAAUUCCAGUUAAAUGGCCAGUUUAGUUAGAGUAUUGAACACGAGUGUCUAAGCGCUAUGAUGCACUCAUCAGGAGCAAAACAAAAUAAAUUGAGGAAGUGAUGGUAGCAUAUUUGCAGUGGAAUUCCAAGGUCACAGCAUGAACCAAUAUAUGAGCAUGUGAUUGCCUAGAGCAGGGGCAGCUGGAGCCACCCUUUCUGUCUCAGGGAUGCUUCUGGGAGCAUGUGAGUCUGCGCAGGUCUCCCUUCCCCCCACCCUUUUCUCCUGCAGCGUGACAGUAUGAACAAGAGAAGGCUGCAUUCCUCAGUUCACCCCUUUCUCCAAACUGUUACUGGGAGGGGUGAAUUAAUUUCUCUUUGAUAUCUUUUCCUAUAGC
rnacentral:lncRNA from 1 species